GAUGAUUACUUUAAGAAGCAGAGGUUUGGUGGCUCGUCUUCUUCGCAAAACUUCUUUUAUCAUCAAGGCGUUGAAGGACCCGGAAAGAAACAGAAAGACGGUUAAGAAAAUAAAGCACACGGACGAUGAUGUUACUGAGGUUGCUAGGAUUAUGAGGCCCAUGAGGAUCUGACCGUGAGGAUCGUGAAGAAGAUUUAGAGAUGCAUGGGAUGCACCAUUGAUGAAAAAGACCCAAAAGAUUUUUCAGCAUGAAUUCAAGGAUGUGAUCGAGAUUGAUAUUUCUGAGAAUUAAUUAAGGAACAAAAGUAGUUUAUGGUUUUAGAGUUUGUUUUUGAAUUUUCAACAAUGUAAAGUUGUAAACGUGUAAACGUGUUUUCUUCCAUGAAAUUAAGUUUUUGUUUUUAAUUUUA